GAUAACGGAUAAGUGAUAAGAUAGCAGAAGUAGAAAGGAAUAUCUUAUCAUGGACUAUUUAAUGCCAGUGAUUACGAAGCAAUGAUGCUAGGAAGUUUAGGAAGAUUCGUUAUUUAAUUCAGUUUACGCGGAAAAGAUAUAUGUUACCUUUUGAAGUAUUUUAUCUUAUACGUGGUAUAUGAAUUAUAAUUUAAUUUAAAUUUGAUAAAUUUAAAGGUGAUAUAAAGAAAUGCAACAGGUGCUGACGUGGAUGUGGAGAUUUCGUCAUUUUUCUUCGUAGAUAAUAAUUACCUGUGCAAUAAUGGAAGCUACCUUUUCUUUAUCUAUUGCUGUGUGGAUUCGUUUAUUUUUCAAGUGAUGUGGAGUAUCUCUACGAUGGAGUCUAUUUGGUCUAUUUGAAUCACCACUACCAUCAUAAUCAGUACCGUCUACGAUAGAAAAUUCGACAUGUCUUUGUGUUUCUUCAUUUUCAGAUUCUUCCUCAUCUUUGUCAUUUAUAUCCUUUGAUUCAGAUAUUGAACCUUCAGUCCUCACAUCCUAAAAAAAUAAUUUUUAUAAUUUACAAAUCAGUAACAAAUAAGUAAAUAAAUAAACUAGCAUUAACAUAAAUACUUACAGCAUUAGAUUCUGUAAUAUAUUGAUUAGAAACUAUUUCUGGUUCAUUGCUGGACUGAAAAUCUGCAUUAUCAGCCACUAUACCAGGUAUGGUUUCUUUUUGUGCAUUUUCUAUAGAUUCAGGUUGUAACGAUUCUUGCUCUAUAGUCUCGGUAGUCAAAUCAUUGGACUUUGUUGAAAUAUCAGUCUCAGUUUUAUCCAAACCAAAUGUUUGAGAAACAUCCUGAAAGAUAUUAUUAACAACUCUUACAAAAAGAUUGUAUGAUAUCUUGAAAAAUGAAAUUAAUAAUUACCUGCUCAUCUGUAGAUGCUGAUCGGCUGUCAUUUUUUCCUUUACUAAAUAAUUUAUGAGCUUUUGCUUUUAAUUCUUUUGGAUGAGGGGUAUUUUGUCGUACGAAUGGUGUCUGAAAUAAGCGCAAACGUUGUAUUUACGUAAUUAAAAAAAAAGGUGAAUGGUUAGAAAAAAAUAGGCUUUUGUUUCAUUUUUUGUUAUAAUUUUAAUACAAUGAGUCGUAAGAAUAAUAACGUUUCCAACACAUUAAAUAUCUCGAAAAUACUCUGAACUUAGAUAUAGCAAACCUAAAAAGUCUAGAAGAUUUCCUCAUAUGUAAUGUGCUCACCUCCUUAUCAGUUUCCGGAGGUUCAUCCGUAAAUUUCACGGAAUGCGUUCGCGACGCUUCUUUUUCUUGCCAGCCUUCAUCAUCGCUACUACCAAGUUCACGUAUUUCGCCAUCUUGAACAACAUUUCUCAUACCACCAAGCAUACCAAUUCUUCCUGAAUCUAAAUCACAAAUCAUGUAACAUAUAAUCCAUAAAGUAUAACUAAAUGUACCAAAAUAUACUUUCAUGAAAUAGAUCUACUAACCAUCUGGAUGGAUUUCCAAUUGUGGCAAAAGAAAACAAAUUAAUACUUCUUGCCCUGUUUCCUCAUCAACGUCUGUCUGAAAAGUAAGCAUUGGUUGUGCUUGAUUCUUACUUAACCAUACUGCCUUUAAGUUCAAAUUGAUCAAGGAAUAUGGCAAGUACUGUAAUCUGAAAAAACGAAUAUCAUUACUAAAUAUCGUUAACAAAAUAUGAAGAAAUUUCGAUAUUUAAGAUUAUAUUAUAUACCUAUUGCCUGAGACAUCCAACACAUGAAGAGCUGUACAUUGUCCAACUUCGAUAGGAAGAUACUGCAGUUUGUUAUCUCUUAAAGAUAGUACACCCAAUUGUUUUAAAUUUCCUAUAGAAAAACAAUAACAUUCGAUAAAAAAUUAUUUUUAAUGCCAUAAAGUAAUAUAAAUAAAUAUUAACGUAAAUUGAAAUUCUAAACGACAUUUUUCUUACCGAUUUCCGUAGGAAGCGACUGCAAACUGUUUCUAUCUACAUUUAAAUUGUUUAGAUUAUGAAGUUUUCCUAUAGUUACAGGCA